rnacentral:rRNA from 1 species
UACAGAGGUCUCGAGCGUUAUGCGGAAUCACUGGGCUUAAAGCGUGUGUAGGCGGAUUGCUAAGUACCUUGUGAAAUCCCACGGCUUAACCGUGGAACUGCUUGGUAUACUGGCUGUCUUGAGCCACUUAGGGGCGACCGGAACAAACGGUGGAGCGGUGAAAUGCGUAGAUAUCGUUUGGAACGCCAAAGGUGAAAACAGGUCGCUGGGAGUGUGCUGACGCUGAGACACGAAAGCCAGGGGAGCAAACGGG